UCAAUAUUUAGGAAACCUUUACUGAAGUACUGCUACGAAUGCGGUCGAUCAGUAGGUGUGCGCCUGUCCGUGUGCACACGGUGUAAGGAGGUGUACUACUGCAGCAAAGCGUGCAAGCUGAAGGCGUGGAAUGCACGACACAAAGAGGAGUGUGUGCGUGUUGGAGGUCCAGCCACCAGUCCCACCACCAAAGCAGGUCGUAUUGACAGCCCCACCCCAGCCACAAACCCAGACAGAGGGGCCCCAGUCACAGUAGACCAGCUAACCAGGGAUAAAGAUGCACAGAAGAUUAAGGUCCCUGUGCAAGGUCGCAGCCACAGUGCCAAGGUCAGGCAGCAGGUCCAUACAGGCAAGGAGGGGGAAUCCACGGGGAACUGGUCCCUGGAUGAACUUCAACGCCUCAAACAGAAGUAUGGGAAAGUGGAUAACUAUAGCUUUGAGUGAUGUGGUGCUAGUGCUCAACAUCCUUGAGUGACCUUGACCUUUAACCUUGGUCAUAACCCUGGACUUGGCUUUCAUUUUAACCCUUGAACUGAACAGGAGCCUUAUUCCAGACCUUGACUUUGCUCUUAAUUUUGAACUUGACAUUGUCCUUGACCUUAACUGACCUUGACCUGGAAAUCAGCAAUAACCUUGCAUGCUUGGAGGUUGACCACGUUUUUUUUUUUUUUUUUUUU